AACAUCGCGCACCUGCGGGAACCUGCGGAAGGAUCAUUACAGAGUUGCAAAACUCCCUAAACCAUUGUGAACGUUACCUAAGCCGUUGCUUCGGCGGGCGGCCCGGGUCCUUCCCGGCGCCCAUCGGCCCUCGCGGGCGCCCGCCGGAGGUAAACCAAACUAUUGCAUUGUAUGGCCUCUCUGAGUCUUCUGUACUGAAUAAGUCAAAACUUUCAGCAAUGGAUCUCAGAUCGGAAGAGC
rnacentral:misc_RNA from 1 species